GACGUAGGGCGCGAGCGUUGUCCGGAUUUAUUGGGCGUAAAGAGCUCGAAGGCGGUUUGUCGCGUCGGCUGUGAAAACUCGGGGCUCAACCCCGAGCCUGCAGUCGAUACGGGCAGACUAGAGUGCGGUAGGGGAGACUGGAAUUCCUGGUGUAGCGGUGAAAUGCGCAGAUAUCAGGAGGAACACCGGUGGCGAAGGCGGGUCUCUGGGCCGUAACUGACGCUGAGGAGCGAAAGCGUGGGGAGCAAACAGG
rnacentral:rRNA from 1 species